AGCAGCUGCUACGAAACUUCUGCUACGGGAAAAAACUGCGGAGACGGCCUCCUUUACUCUCGCACCUUCCGCUCCUCCCCACCGCGUCUUCAUCUUCCUGCUUCCUGCGGAUCUCCAAACGCCGAUCCAUCCUAGUGGUCUCGCAGCUCCAUGGCCGAGAUUCGGUCGCCGUCACUCACCCAUAACUGGCGUUAGAUCAAGGCCGUCGGCACGGCCCGAUGCGGCGGCGACGCGGAGGCCUCGGCGGCACCCGACUCUAGUACCGUCUCACUGCGCGGCCUUCGCCGCAUCCAGCGUCGCUCGAGUUCGACUGCCUCAAGUGAGGUCUACACCGCCGCCGCCACGCUCGGGUCCCCCAACACCUGUGUCUGCAGCUCGAGAUGUGGUUUCUUGGGCGUCUCGCAACUCGACUCCCUCAAGCAGCCGGCGGCCAGCGGACGCUUGAUGCUCACCACCACCCUGCUCCACUCCCCGCAAGACAAGGAGCCAGGUUAGGCAACAGGGGCGGCGGCGCGCAAGCCCGCGCACGCAGGUGGUGGCGGCGGCGCGCCGGCCCUCGCGCGCAUAUACAGCAACGACGGCGGCACCGCACAACUCCACAGGUGGUCAUGGCUCCCCAUCUCCUCUCCGCCCGCACGCACCGGCCCCUCCCUAGCUCCUAGCUGGUAGCCUGUGCCAUGCAGCGUCGAACUCCGGCGGUGGCUCGGUGCGCAGCGGCUGAGCGGGCAGCUCAAGCGUCCAGCACGUUAGCUGCCUCCACGGCGGCCCGUAGGCUGCAAGUCGGAAAUAGGCACGGUCACGCGGCCAGGCAUGCAGCCUCGCCACCCCACGGGUCGGAUGAGGUGGUUCUCCUCCGCAGGCUCAUCCACCGGCGGCUGCUGCAUCCAACUCAGCAAACAACAGUUCAGUUCAACUCACGCUAUAAUUGCUGCCUACAAGGUGCUCGAUAGAAUGCUCCAGUGACGACAUGAUGUUUGGAGCUCUGUUUGCAAAGUUGAAGCUGGGUUAGCAUAUUUGCUCACUACUGCUAUUUCGUCUACAAUUUCAUACAUUCGAGUUCUUCCUUUCUUGCCCCUAACUGUGUGUUGGUCUUGUUAGUUGUUCCUCUUCUGAUUUAGACUCACUAAUUUGUGUCGAGAGGACAACAACUCAAGUGACUUUAGAGAUAGAAUUCUAUAGAGCCUUUGCAACAGAAUUUAGUGUUUUA